AGUGAACGCUGGCGGUAGGCCUAACACAUGCAAGUCGAACGGCAGCACAGUAAUAUCUUUCUCUUACUGUUUGCGAGUGGCGUACGUGUCACUAAUACAUCGGAAUCUUCUUUUUCUUGUGUGAUUACGUAGGUAAACUUACGCUAAUACCUCAUACGUCCUACUUGUUAAAUCAGUGGUUCUUCGUACCUUUCGCGUUUUUAUUAGCCGAUGUCGGAUUAGCUAGUUGGCUGGGUAAAGGCCCACCAAGGCGACGAUCCGUAGCUGGUCUGAGAGGAUGAUAAGCAAAGCUGGAAGUGAGAAACGGUCCAGACUCCUACGGGAGGAAGCAGUGGGGAAUAUUGGACAAUGGGCGAAAGCAUGAUCGAGCAAUACCGCGUGGGUGAAGAAGGACUUCGGGUUGUAAAGACAUUUUGUUGGGAAAGAAAAGAAGCAGGUUAAUACCCAGAUGUUAUGACGGUAACGAAAGAAUAAGCAACGGCUAACUACGUG
rnacentral:rRNA from 1 species